ACUGAAUAGAUACCCGGGUAGUCCACGCCGUAAACGAUGAUAACUAGCUGUCGGGGGCCAUGGGCUUUCGGUGGCGCAGCUAAACGCAUUAAGUUAUCCGCCUGGGGAGUACGGCCGCAAGGUUAAAACUCAAAGAAAUUGACGGGGGCCUGCACAAGCGGUGGAGCAUGUGGUUUAAAUUCGAAGCAACGCGCAGAACCUUACCAGCGUUUGACAUCCUGAUCGCGGUUACCAGAGAUGGUUUCCUUCAGUUCGGCUGGAUCAGUGACAGGUGCUGCAUGGCUGUCGUCAGCUCGUGUCGUGAGAUGUUGGGUUAAGUCCCGCAACGAGCGCAACCCUCGUCUUUAGUUGCCAUCAUUUAGUUGGGCACUCUAAAGAAACCGCCGGUGAUAAGCCGGAGGAAGGUGGGGAUGACGUCAAGUCCUCAUGGCCCUUACGCGCUGGGCUACACACGUGCUACAAUGGCGGUGACAACGGGCUGCUACCUCGCGAGGGGAAGCUAAUCCCAAAAACGCCGUCUCAGUUCGGAUUGUUCUCU
rnacentral:rRNA from 1 species